UACAGAGGGUGCGAGCGUUGUCCGGAAUCACUGGGCGUAAAGGGCGCGUAGGUGGUGGCUUAAGCGUGCGGUGAAAGCUCGGAGCUCAACUCCGAGUCGGCCGUGCGAACUGGGCUCACUGGAGCAUAGUAGAGGCAGGUGGAAUUCCGGGUGUAGCGGUGGAAUGCGUAGAGAUCCGGAAGAACACCGGUGGCGAAGGCGGCCUGCUGGGCUAUGGCGUGACACUGAGGCGCGACAGCGUGGGGAGCAAACAGG
rnacentral:rRNA from 1 species